rnacentral:rRNA from 1 species
CCUAAUACAUGCAAGUCGAGCGGACAGAUGGGAGCUUGCUCCCUGAUGUUAGCGGCGGACGGGUGAGUAACACGUGGGUAACCUGCCUGUAAGACUGGGAUAACUCCGGGAAACCGGGGCUAAUACCGGAUGGUUGUCUGAACCGCAUGGUUCAGACAUAAAAGGUGGCUUCGGCUACCACUUACAGAUGGACCCGCGGCGCAUUAGCUAGUUGGUGAGGUAACGGCUCACCAAGGCGACGAUGCGUAGCCGACCUGAGAGGGUGAUCGGCCACACUGGGACUGAGACACGGCCCAGACUCCUACGGGAGGCAGCAGUAGGGAAUCUUCCGCAAUGGACGAAAGUCUGACGGAGCAACGCCGCGUGAGUGAUGAAGGUUUUCGGAUCGUAAAGCUCUGUUGUUAGGGAAGAACAAGUGCCGUUCAAAUAGGGCGGCACCUUGACGGUACCUAACCAGAAAGCCACGGCUAACUACGUGCCAGCAGCCGCGGUAAUACGUAGGUGGCAAGCGUUGUCCGGAAUUAUUGGGCGUAAAGGGCUCGCAGGCGGUUUCUUAAGUCUGAUGUGAAAGCCCCCGGCUCAACCGGGGAGGGUCAUUGGAAACUGGGGAACUUGAGUGCAGAAGAGGAGAGUGGAAUUCCACGUGUAGCGGUGAAAUGCGUAGAGAUGUGGAGGAACACCAGUGGCGAAGGCGACUCUCUGGUCUGUAACUGACGCUGAGGAGCGAAAGCGUGGGGAGCGAAC